rnacentral:rRNA from 1 species
GACGGAGGGUGCGAGCGUUAUUCGGAAUCAUUGGGCGUAAAGAGUGUGUAGGCGGCCGGUUAAGUCAGGCGUGAAAGCCCAGGGCUCAACCCUGGAAGUGCGUUUGAAACUGGCUGGCUUGAGUUCGGGAGAGGGAAGCGGAAGUCCUGGUGUAGAGGUGAAAUUCGUAGAUAUCAGGAGGAACAUCGGUGGCGAAGGCGGCUUCCUGGACCGAAACUGACGCUGAGACACGAAAGCGUGGGGAGCAAACAGG